AGAGGCUCCUGGGUAACGUAGUUCUUCAGUCACUCCUCAUGGGGAGCCACAAGCUACCCGGACCACAAACCCCAUGAUGCAUCGCGGGGAGGCGCUGCAGAGCAAUGUGUGCGGAUAGCUCUUUUCUGAAUGGCUGUUGGUUGUGGUGCGUUUCCUGAUUGGACGAAUAGUUCCACCCUGUUGCUGCGCCUGGCGGCGGGGAUGCAGUGAGCCGCCUGGGCCAGUGAGUGUUCAGCUGCGGCCCCGCUAGGCACUAGCUCGCCACGGCUUCGGGCUGAUCAGCUGGUGGGCCAGAGUGGAUAAAAAUUGAUGAUUUUUUUAAAUUGGAUUUUUAAUUAAAUACCAAUUUAUUUCAAAAAAAUAAACCUACUUAAAAUUAAACGUGAAAUUAUUACAGUUUAUGGAUGCAGCAUCUCCUGUGUGUUCUUAUGAAUGAUACUGGACUGGGAAUGAGGACUCCUGUGUACCAGGCUCAGACACAGAUGCGGUGUGUGACCUUGAGCAAGUUACAGGUGUACUCAGUUUUAACUCCAUUUUAACCAACAAGCAGCAAGAGGAUUCUGAAAUAUUACAAGAAAAUAGAUUUGGAACCAGUUCUACAGAAAAACAUGCCUGGCCAGAAUGGAGAACACAAUUGGUAACUUUUAAAAAAAGUUUUUAAAAAGAUUCAGAUUAUAAGGAAAAUAGAAAUCAAACAACUUGGGUUAAAACUAUGAUGAAAAACAUUGUGAGAUAAUGUGAAAAUGUCCCAUUUUUAAUUAAGACAUUUUCUAUCACUUUAGAGUACAUAUCUUUCAAAAUUGAUGUUUUUGGACAUUAAAGGCAAUUACCUAUGAGAUUAUGCAGGAAUAAUAUUAAGCAUAAAUGUUUUAUUUUCUAAAUAAAAUUGAAUUAAUAUUACAUUUUAAAGUGGUUGGUUGGUGUCUGCAUCAAGUUAUACCCAUAAUAGUAUACUGUAAUACUUAUCAAGUCAAGGAAAUUUUACCACAAACACUACAUAUUGUAAUUAACAGCUGCUUACCUGAUAUUAACUGUGGUUCUUCACAAUGUUCUGCAUGUAUGGAUCCCAUGUGCCCCAGCACAGGAGAUCAGAACAGUUUCAUUAGCAGUGUCCAGUAUGGGUCACACAUGUGCCCUACAUUUCCUCACGUCGUCGUCCUCUCCCUGUCCUGAUGGCAUAAAGGGCGCAGUAAUCCCAACUGCAAUUCAGUUCCUUCACUACCCAGAAUACUCAUUUAUCAGACUGAGCUGCAGGGCUAGAGGGUGGGUCGUGAGAUCCACAUGUUCAGAACUUCUCAAAGAACCACAGUUACUAUCAGGUAAGUUACCAUUCUUUCUUCUUCAAGUUACUGCAUAUGUGAAUCCUGUGGCAUUAUGCCCCAUAUUCUUCAUAGUAAUAUUGUUAUAUGCUUGUGGCAUAACUAUGAUGUAUUUUAUGUAAGAAGGUCAUGUAAAAUACCAUUGAAAAUGUUCUGAUUCACUGAAUAUGAUAUGAUUAUCCUAUUUGUAUGCAUGUAUCAUUUUGGUAACUGAAGUUAGGAAUAUUAUCUAUGCAGCUAUUACAAAAGUGUUUGCACCUGGGGAACGCCCACUAGGCAGAAUGCAAUCAGUCUAGAUGGCUGGCUGGGAAGGGGUAUUAGGGAGAACCAUAGGUCUUAGAAGAUGUUAAUCGCCCACGUGGGUGGGGUGGGGAAAGUCUUCCUGAUGACGCUACAAACAGCCUCUGCGUCAUGGCUGCUGUGGCCCUACAGGGGCAUGUGACCAAGACACCUGGUACUGGACUCCAUCAUAGAAUACCAGUGUUUUUCCACUGAAAGGCAACUAAAGUUGGAGACAAAAGGUUCCCGCCAUAUGCAAAAGCUAUUUAAAGCAGGGAAGUGACAUCACUGUGGUUCUUGUGACUCCCCCACCCAAAGGAGAUGCUUGGAAACACCUGAGAAAUGAGGACUGAACUGGGGAGAAGGGCUGGAAACAGGCUAGAGGGAUUUCUAGCCUGUGAAAGGAAUACCUGGGGUUUUAAGCUGCAAGCAAGUGCAGCUUGCCCUUAAGAGCCUGCAGCCAGGUUAAAUCAUCAUUUAGGGUGAGAAUUUGCAACUCGUAUCCAGUUUCUUUAGUAUAUAAAGCUUAGAUUACUUAGCAAAUAAAACAAAAAUGCAAUCUGCUUUGAUCUGUUUGAUAUCACUUUAAAUCUGUCUUUUGUAGGUUAAUAAAUUUAUUUUUGCUUUGUCUAAAA